AGUCGUUAUUAGUCAUUAGAUUACUUUACUUCACUCAUAGCGCAAGAAUGCAGUUGUUUCCUUAGUGCCAAAGAAAACUGCUUGAAAACCCGGUCCCAAGUCCUUUGCGUCCAAAUUCUAAAGAAUCCCAACUGUUGCUCCAGUGUAUGUUUGGAAAUGAGGAGAACGUUAAAAAAAUAAAAGACAAGGUUUCCCAAUUUCGCUCCGCUUUUAUGUCAAUUCAAUUCUAGGUUGUUUCUCUUGCCUAAGCUGAACCUUGUAGUUUAUAACAAGCACGUAAAAGACAUAACGUUUCCGUUUGCAGAACAUCGGCUUGUUUCUAACGCAAAUUAAACCGAUUUUUGCCAAAAACAAAGUUGACGAAGUUUGUCAACAGGUUGAUCCAUUUAGCUAUGCGGUUCUUGCCACAACUUUGUUCCUAAUCUAAUAAAUUUGGACUAGUUUUUCGUGUCGUAAGCGAAACGGUGCAUACACACUCCGGAUUAUCAAACAAGUUUUCGAGUUAUGCCUGCGGGGAUUUGUGAACUUGACUUUGGGAUUUGAGACAAGCGGGGAUCUUUAAGAAAAAGCGUUAUGAAAUUUAUUGAAAGUGCAUAGUCAUGCAUUGUGCAGAUCACGUCGGGGACGAGAAGACGAAUAAAUAUCGAACUUGUACACAAGAAUUUAUCUCGAGUAAAGCGCAAUAAAUUCCCUCGGAGAUGUUUACAGUUUGAUACAAUUUUACAAAGUAUCUUCGGCGAAUGCGACGGCUUCCGGUCAAUUUGUUAGGGCAACUUGGUGGAGUUUACGCUCCUUUUGAUUAAUGUAAUUUCGGCACAACUUUUCGAUGACACGUAAACAAUCGUUUCGUUCAAUUAAAACGGGAGAGCACAACACAUCAACGCUCAUAAAUCCCCAGUUACGUAACAGCGGAGAGUCACGACAAUUCCAUAAAUUGUUUAAAAUUUUUAAAAAUAUGGAAGAGACAGGAAAAACGCAAUUAUUCGAUUCCAGGAGGUUACGUCAAAUUGCGUUUUGUGGAACAGGGAUCCUCCUCCUGUGCAACUAUUAUUACACAAAAACAGUAAUUUGAAACAAUAUCUUAAUUUUAUGUAAGCACUGACCUUGACAACAUGCAAACUACUCAUAAUCUGAAUUCCUGUUAAAAGAUUAAUAAAAUCCAUAUAAAUCAUUGGUUUCCAGUAAUUUCACGAAAUUGGAAUUAAAAUUUUCGCAGUUAUCUGAUGUGUGGUUGAAACAAUGUUUGAUUAUCGUAUUAUUACAUGUUUUGCGGUUGGAGUCGUAAAUGUAGAGAAGAGUUUAGUGGUGUAAAUGUAAAUUUACACAAGGAUAAGAUUACUCGGCGCUCCAUAAAAUCCGGUUGUAAUAAAGUGACAUAAUUAAAAUAUAAUUGAAAAUCGUUACAUUCUCGAUAAAUGCGCCGUUAUGGCCACUACACAUGCAAUAUUUUAAUUUGUUGUAAAAUACGGUUUUAAAUGUAAUUUAAGUCAUAAAUCCGGAUUAAGUUGUGAAUAAUUCUCGUGUAAUGUAAUUAAAUUUCGUGAAAUGGUUGUAUUUACUUGUACUCUAAUUUGAAAAAGUCCGUUCUAAAUAAUGAAAAGUAUUGUUUGUCAGUUUAUUCUGUCCCUUUUAUUCAAAUGAAAGCUUGUGAAUUUAAAAUUGUAUUUUUUACAAAAAUCUUUUCAGGAUUAUUUUUAUGAAUGAAUAUCAUUCUUUGCAUACAAAAGAAACACUGGAACAAAACAAAUUACCCACAGGCCAUUCAUACUUUAUUCAGUUAUUGAAAUUCUGAAUAGGUUUUGUGAGCGGAAAAUCUAAGACGAUUUUUCUUUUUUUUUGAGCGAAAUCACUUAAUUUUUUGCAGUGGUGACAGCGAAGGAAAUCCGUGUCUGUGUAAAAUGUGGCAGUCAACAUGUGUUUGUUGUUAAAAAUCAGACAAGCAAUUCUCGUGGGUUGCAACUGCAAUGAAUUUUACAACGUCCCGAGCUCAUGUGAAAUUUAAAAAGAAGCAAUCUAUAAUUUGUGCUGCAGCAGUUUUCAUUUCCAAUCCGGCUGAAUCAGUGACAAAAUACGCAAUCUAUUUUUCCGAUGAUAAAUAGCGAAUAUCUAGUACAACGUAAUGAACGAAUAUGGCAUCAACUUUAUAAAUGGAACGGAAUCCAGAAGCAGUCCCUGUGGAAGUCCUCGCAUAGCCACCACUAUGAACUCAUAUAUCAUGCAGAGUGUUCGUUGUUUUAAUUAAGAGCACCAUGAAUUCGAAUAUGGAUCUCUGUAUAAAUAUUCAUAAAUUAUGAACGAUCGAGCCGGCCCUAAUUGCAUUUUUCCCUUAAGCUUGUCAAUAAUAAAAUUACCAUUAAUCAUUGUCUCAAGUCUUUGCUGUUAAACGAAUUUGUUUUCGAUUAAAAUUCAAUUGCUUUU